rnacentral:lncRNA from 1 species
AGUUCAUGCUGUGUACAGAGGGUGUUGAGAAUGCCUCCUACGUGACGGAAAGCAGAUCCGUGGUUCCCUGCAGACCGGCAGGAGCAGAUUCCAAAGGCACAGGAAGAAGCUUGCAGUACAAAGAUAAAAAUCUAAAGUGGUUGCUGUGGAGGACAGGGGUCAGUGGUGGAAGUGAGACUGAAAUGGACUCUGAAGUAAUAUCUGGACUUUGAAAUUGUUUCCUUAACGACAACAAAAAAGGGAGUAAUCCUACCUACUGUAAGAGUCAUGACUCUUGAUUGCAGCUGACAGAAGCUCAUGACAGCCUGGUUUAGAUAAAAGGGGAAAGGACGACUGGAAGAAUCUUGGAGUUGGGAAUAUGGCACAUAAUUGAAGGAAGAGCAAUAAAACUAUAAUUCUUCCCGUGGAGACUGGAGUUUCCAGGAUGUGAAAAUUACCUCUGCUUGGGUGAGCUAUUCCAAGCAGCUGGGAUACCUGUGUCACUCCUGCUGUCUGCCAGUGACUGCCCAGGCAGCUGCUCCCAACCCCAGCAACUUUGCUAUCUUAGAACGGAUCACCAGUGAAAGAGGGGAAGUUGCUACUGUGAUGAAUUCUGCCAUGUGGUACCAGACUGCUGCCCAGACCACAGUGUCCUCUGCAACCCUGGUAACUCACAUACAGGCCUGAUUCCACCUACAGCAAAGCUGGAUGCUAUGGUUGGCAGAGGCAAGCCCCUUGCCUGCACUUCAGGCCAAAGCCGGGAUGUGGCCUAGAUGGUUCCUAAGGUCCCUGACAGUCCUGAGAUCUUUCAUCUUGUCUAUUUCAGGUCAAAGGUGCCUACAUGUUCCUUCUAGCUUUGUUUCCCUGAUGUUCCUUGCCACCUGCUACUCCUCUCUGAGCUACUUUUCCAGGUUCCACAGGGAGAGGUUCAGCUGUCCAUGGUAGACAUGAGGGUAGAGAAUGAGAUGGUUGGGUUCCACUUACCUUUCUAUCAUCUUGCAGUAUGGAUGUCUCUUGACUGGUACCAUGUAGACUUUUGAGGGCAGACAGGAGUCUGCAGAGAGAUACUGGGGAUAUUGAGCAGCAGCAAUGGGGUUGGGAGGCAGAAAUGAGGACAGGAACAUUUACCUUGUGUUUCUCUCAGCUUCUCAGAUGACCAAGAUGGUGCUGCCGAUGGUGUUGAGGACGGAGAACCCACCAAGCCC